rnacentral:rRNA from 1 species
AUUGAACGCUGGCGGCAGGCCUAACACAUGCAAGUCGAACGAGUGGCGGACGGGUGAGUCAUGUCUGGGAAACUGCCUGAUGGAGGGGGAUAACUACUGGAAACGGUAGCUAAUACCGCAUACCAUCAGAUGUGCCCCUAUGGGAUUCGCUAGUUGGUGGGGUAACGGCGCACCAAGGCGACGAUCCCUAGCUGGGCUGAGCGGAUGACCAGAACAACUGGAACGGAGACACGGUCCAGACGCCGACGGGAGGCAGAAGUGGGGGUUAUUGGACGAUGGGCGAAAGCAUGAUGCAGCCAUGCCGAGUGUAUGAAGAAGGCCUUCGGGUUGUAAAGUACUUUCAGAGGGGAGGCGUUACCCGCAGAAGAAGCACCGGCUAACUCCGUGCCAGCAGCCGCGGUAAUAC